CUCUCUUGCUCUUCCUCUUCCUCCUGCUCUCUGCUCUCUCUGGAGCCACCAUGUGAUCCCGGGAAGAGGACACCAGCUGAAAGCAUCCUCGAAGAUAAGUCUUAUAAAAAAUAAUAUAGAUUUAUGAUAAUUAAGACUGAGCUAGCAUAUAAGAAAUCCUAGUCAAUUGGCCAGCAGCACUGUUAACUAAUAUAAGACUCUGUGUUUUUCUGGGUUCCCAUGUGGCAGCAGGGCUCAGGCGGAUGCAGUAAAGAUUUAUCAUUACACUAUCCCUUUUGAUUUUUCUUACACUUAGUUCUUGUAUUCCUAAGUGUUAGCAGCUUCUGUUAUUUAUCUUUGUGUAUGCAGACACUUGCUAAGGUUUUACAACAGAAAUAGUUUUCAAGCUGCAUUAUCAGUUUCUUCAGUGGGACUUCAUUCUCCUCACACUGUCCUGGAUGCCCAUUCAGAAACUAUGUUUCUGCAUACCUCACAUUCUUUGAAAAUGGCAAUGUCACUUUCAGUUCUGUCUGCAGUGUGUUUGUGUCAGGGCUGGUAACAGGGCUUCACGCUGCACACAGGUCCCGCUCUUCUCACAGUUAAUGCUUGCUCCUAUGUCUUUCGAAGAUCCAACUACUAAUUCCUCUUCACACAUUUCCUAUAGACUGAAAAUUUCAGGUAUGAAUAGGCUCAGACAUCAGGGAUUUUAUCUUUUUGAUUCAGUUUGGACGGUUGGUUUCCAGGAAUUCUGAGCAAUUGCCAUCUUGAAUUUCUAAGAUGGCAACUCCAGAUGUUUCCUUCUGGUUUCUUUCUUUUUCAAAAAAAUUUCUUUUAUGUGUUUCUUCAUUUUCUCUCAGAUUGGCUCAUUUAUUCUCUGUUGUUCUUGUGGGUUUUUCCACUUUAAAUUUUGUAGUUGUCAAUUUAUAGGCAUCUGGGGUUCAAGGCAACAUAAAAUAAGAAUUUUACUUGCAUGUACUAGAUUCUAGUAACUAAACUAAUAUACCAAAUUUACAACUGAGUUGGCUGAUUUUAGGGUAAUUGCACACAAGCUAGAGUCAUUUGGGAAGAGACUCCCAUUUUAGAAAAUGACUCCAUGAGAUACUGCUAUAGGGUAUUUUCUUAAUUAGUGAUUGAUGUAGACAGUCCAUUCCAUUGUGGGUUGUGUUAUCCCUGAACUGGUGGUCCUGGAUUGUGCAAGAAAGCAGGCUGAACAAGCCAGUAAGCAGCACUUCUCCUUGGUUUCUGCAUUAGUUCUUGGCCUCAGGUUCCUGCCGUCUCAAUGGACUACAUGUGAUCCAGGACAUAUAAGCCUCCCCAAAUUGCUUUUUGUGAAACGUUCCCCUCUGACCCACCAGCCAGCUCCCAAAUUAUGACAUGGAGACCACCCAUCAAUAAUGAAAUCUCGGCCUAUAGCUCAGGUCUGUUGCUUACCAGCUCCAACACCUCAAAUUAACCCAUUCACAUUAAUCCAUAUUCUUUCCCAUGGUGCUACCUCACCUUCAUCUUGCACCUCCACUUUCCUCUCUGUGUUUCCUGGCAUCUGGAUUCCUUCUCCUCUUCCUUUCUCUCCCAGGAAAUUCUGCCUCUACCUCCUGCCUAGCUAUUGGCCCCUCAGCUUUUUCUUAUAGCAAUCACAGCAAAUACAGCUUCACACAAUGUGCAAAUACCCCACGACAGCUUUUGGUCAUGGCUUUUUAUUACAACCACAUAAACCUAUCUAAAACAACAGUAGUCUAGAAAGUCCCCCUGUGAUUCAUGGUUAAAAUAUCUUAAAAUACUUCAGCUCCUUCAUGGAACCUUCAGUAAAUUAGGAGGAAGGCCAGAGAGAUUUAGAUAGAAGCUAAAUGCUAGUUUUUCAGAAAAGUCUGCCUCACUCAUUCUCUGAUACAGGACUUUUAAGACGUCCGGACUUCCUCUUUGUACACAGUGAGCCUUUUAAGUGUUCUUUUUCUCAGUACAGCAAAAUUAUUUAGGACAUUGUGAAAUAACGGUGAGAUAGUAAUCAUCUAUAUUGGCACAAUGUCUUCUAUGUAGAAAAGCCUGCCAAGUGCUUGCAACUUGAAGGGAAUUGUUGUUGGUAACUGAAAAGUGUCUUUCUGAAAUGUGAUUUUACCAUCCGAGGUAACAUUUUAAAGAAAGGGGCUCUUCUUAGUGAACUGUGAAGAAACCAAGGACUGUGACCCACUGGAAUCUUUCCUGUAGAAUGUCGUCAAAAUUCUACUGGACAGCCGAGUUGGGUUUCCUGUGUUGCCUUAUGGCUGCAAGCCAUCACCGAAUUAUAGAUAGCUAGAGCAUUCAUGCCCUUGGAGAUGGCAUUUGUCAUGUGAUUCUCGGAGGGAGUUCCUUGAAGACUUCCCAAAGGUUAAAGGUAUAAAUAAAUAAAUAAAUAAAUAAAUAAAAAGAAUUUGACAUAAAAUUAACUUGAUUGUUUACAGUUUCUAAAUGGGCUAAAAUAUGCUGAAAAAUGAAUAAAAUGACAGGAAGUGUGUGGCUCCUCAAGGCUGUUAAUACAAACGAACAGGGAACUAGACUUGAGAAUAAUAUAAAUAUUGCCCUUAACUGGACAGUAAAUUUUACUAGAUGUAACUUAUCACCUCUAUAAAGGCAUUCAAGAUAAUUACUUCAUGCACAUUUCUGACUUUUAGAAAUUAUAAGAUAACCCCAAAACAUCAAGCCAGGUAAGGCUGCAGAAGCAAAUACACGAUUUUCUAGGCCAGUGUUUAAAUUCUAAACACAGUGGCACCCUUUACUUGGCAGUCAGAGUCCUGGUCACGCAGUCCAAACCCACAGCUGGGAGCCAGAACAUAAACACAGAGCCUCCUCCAAGUGUUCACGGUCCACGUGAGAAAGCCAGAGCUUUGUUGUUGGUAGAGACAGCAACCUUCAUGCUUAGCAGAUAGUCGAUUGCACAAGUGUUUAUCAUAACAGAAAGCCUGCUUUAUUAGGCAAAGUCUCCUUGCUGCUAUAAGAUGGAAAGAUGAAACUUGCUGAACUUCAUUUUCUUCAGUAUACUGAGUUUCUCUUGGGUCAAAUAAAAUCUAUCACAUCAUUUUAAAAUUCGGCAUUAAUUGAGAAGCUAAAAGUAUGUUAAAUGUGGAUCAGAACUGGUAGAUAACAACUUUGGUAACAGAAGGCAAUUCAUUCAUUGAACAAACAUUUUCUUGGGUUCAUGCCAUGCCUGCUGAGCUUUCUAAGAGGAUACAGCAGUGGACAAAAUCUUUGUCUUUGUGAAACUUGUUCUGUGACAUAGUAGAGAGAGGCGACAAUAGACAUAGUAAAUGAAUUGGUGUAAUGGCAGAAACCAGGGCAUGGUAGAAGGCAAGAAGCGACACAGGAGCAGCUCCGGGUUGAACAUAGUUUUUGCUUCUGUUCUGCAGACAUGAGAAGUUGUUGCUGGCUAGAGUGAGACAGAACCACAGUGCCAUGGCCACGUGCUGAUGGUGUGCAUAUUGUGGCCAUUGCCAGGACCCAUGCUUUCACCUGGAGUUUGAUGAGAAGGCCAUGGCAGGUUUUGAGUUGACACACCAGAGAAAAUUCAGCAUGGAUUCUAUGUGAAGAAGGCUUGGUAAAAAGAUCACUGUCAGCUGGACAAAGGAGACCCCUGUAGGGAGAAAGCAUGAUUAGACGUACCGCUGAACUGAACCAUAUUCCUGGAAUCCAGUUGUGGAGAAGGAGGAGGGAUGAGCAAAGGAGCCAAGAUGGUGCUGCAGAAACCCACAGAAACAGUUGUCCUGACCUAAUGAAAGCAUGGAGACCCUAGUCGCAAAGCUGAGGAAACAGCAUUGGACUGAACCAAGCCCUCUGAAUGUGGGUGUCAGCUAGGAGGUCAAGAUAGUCUAUGGGACCUCUAACAGUGGAGCCAGUCUUUAACCCUGGAGCACAAAUGGACUUUCGGAGCCCAUUCCCUAUGGAGGGAUACUACUGCAGCCCAGAUACAGCAAGGAGGGCCCAGGACCUUCCCCAAAUGAUAUGACAGACUUUGAAGGUCCCUGGUGGAGGACCUUACUAUCUCUGGGGAUGAGUUGGGGGAUGGGUUGGGAGGGGUUGGUGGGGAACUUGGGAGGAUGGGAGGGCGAGGGAAUGUGGGAGAUGGAUAUAUAAAUAUGAGUAGUAAUUAAAGAAAUUAAAUUAAAAAGAGAAGUACCGCUGACCAUGCCUGCUUAGGGAUGGACACAGGUGCUGCUGAGCACGCCCACUUGGGCGUGGUCAGAGGGACGUGGGAAAGGUUUAAGAAUGAGGGGCGCCCAUGUGGAGCCCCUUCUUCCCUUGCUCCCUGCCGACUGGCUAGGCAGAUCUGUGAGUACCAUUUAUUAAUAAAAUAUCUGUUAUCUAUCUGAUCUGACUCCAGGUUUAAUCUCACAAGAGACCCAGUCUAGAGGGGGUCUGGGAUAGGACUGUGACUUCUGAGUCCUAAGUCCUUCAUGUUCAUUUCUCUAGACUAUGACAUGAGAGAAUGGCUUCACUCUGAUGCCUGCCAGGUUAGGGCCUCACAGCUGCCUGUGGUGAACACAGAAAAUCUCACACAAUUUUCUUCAGGAUUCAAGACAGUUGGCUUCAGUGGACACGGUUGUGGAGGAAUCUCGGCUUCUUCUAGCAAUGGCCACAGUUCUGACAUCGUUCGUACCAGGCCUUCCCCUGCCACUGUCCUGGUGGGGAGAAAAGGGGAGGCUGCUGGCAGGGUAGGAGUGGGCAUUGUGCGUGGGCACUCUGGGGGUGGAAUGCAGUGUUUUCUGUGUUGUUUUGUAAAAUAUGACAACUGUAACUUUCUGAUCUUGCUAUGGGACCCUGUCUUGGUUCUUUGGUUGAAACACAUUGGAAUUGUACAACUGGCGGCUUCUUCAGUUCUAAGUGCAUGACACAUGCAACAAAACUGAACAAGCUAGGGUCCUGCGCAUUGGCUCCAUCCUCAGUCCUAAACUGCUUAGCCAGGCUGUGCUUUUGACCUUCCAGAGUGUUUUUUGUUUGUGAGUUAGUUUGUUUGUUUUUCUUUUAUAUAUAAUAUUGAAGGUUUUAGUUGUAGUUAAAGUAAACAUAGGAAAAAGUAUGUAUUCCAUCAUCCAUAGGGGAAGGAAACUUACUUAUCAUUUUGAAAAUAAUAAUAAAGAACAAUAAUCUUGAGACAGAAUUUCAUAUGGUAUUCCAGGCGAGCCUUAACCUCUUAGUGACUGUUCUGCUUCAGACCCCUCAGUGAAAGGACCAGAUGUUCACCACCAUACCCUGCUUAAAAUGUAAAAUAUUUGUUUAACCAAAUAUUUAAAUAAAAUUCAGGAGACUGGAGAGAUGGCUCAGUGGUUAAGAGCACAGGCUGCUCUUCCAGAAGUCCCAGGUUCAGUUCUUACCACCCACAAAGUGGCUCACAACAGCCUGUACUUCCAGGGAAUCCAGGGCCUUCUCUGGUCUCCGUAGGCACUGCAUACAAGGACAUACAUGCAGGCAAAGUACCUCUACAUAUGAAAAUAAAUCCUUAAAAAAUGAAACGGAAAGACUGAGGGAAACAUAUAAUUACCUCCAUCUCACUUUUGCACAAUUCCAGUUUCUUCUCAUAGAAAGAACACCUCGUUCCUAGCUAGUGUGGAGUUUAUUAUCAUUCUAUUAAGUAAUAUUUUCUCUAUUACUUUGCAGAUGUUAUCUUUAAGCAUUAUCAUUAAACAUUACACAAGGAAAUCAUCUCAUGUUCACUGUCUGUCCUCUCAGUAUUGCGUUCAUGUCAUCAAAGCCAGGUUGCCUAUGCAAUUUUGAUUUGGUUCCCAUUGCCAUUGUCUAGUUCUUCUUUCUUCUACCACAUCCUCUCUCCCCAUCUAGCAACAUCAGACAGCUACAUUCCACUUUAACCUCUCCCUUGCCCAGCAUUGUAUAUGUUCCUUGUAUGUGGUACUGUUACAUAUGGACAACUAUAUAUUAUCAGUUGAGUGUAAUCCUCCCAGUACCUCCCCAAUCAGUCCUCUUUAUCACCCUAGUCAAUUUCACUUCUACUUUUGGGUCAAAUGUGCAUUCUUGAUUUUAUAUAAAGAUAUAAAGAUAGAGAACAACAUUACAGAGAAAACAUAUUUGUCUUUCUGAAAUUUUGAUUAUACACAGUUGCACCCACUCUCCUGCAAAUGACAACUUUGUUCUUUAAGGCUGAAAAACUCCAUUGUGUAUGAGUACUCAGUCCUCUACCAUUGCCUCUUAGGUUGAUGCCACAGCCUUACGAUUGUGUAGUAAACACCAGUGUUCAUGGGUCUCUGAGAUGCAUUGACUUGAAGCCAUUUGGGUAAAUAUCAAGAAAUGGGACACUGGUAAAUAUGGUAUGUCUAUCUUUAGUCUUUUGAGGAACUUGCUUUCUUUUUUUCCCCGUUUUUUAUUUGAAUUAGAAAAAAGAUUGUUUUACAUGUCAAUCCCAGGUCCCUCUCCCUCCCCUACCACUCCCCCAACUAAAACCCUACCUAUCACAUACCCUUUCUGCUUCCCAGGGAGGGUGAGGCCUUCCAUAGGGGGUUUUCAGAGCCUGGCAUGUCCUUUGCGAUACGGCCUAGGCCCACCCCCGUGUGUCUUAGUAUCCCUCUAUGUAGAAUGAGCUCCCAAAGUCCAUACCUAUGCUAGGGAAAAGUACUGAUCUACUACAGGAGGCCCCAUGGAUUUCUGAGGUCUCCUCACUGACACCCAUGUUCCUGGGGUCUGGAUCAGUCUCAUGCUGGUUUCCCAGCUAUCAGCCUGGGGAGCAAGAGCUCCCUGAUGUUCAGGUCAGCUGUUUCUGUGGGUUUCACCAGCCUCGUCUGGAGUCCUUUGCUCAUCAGUCCUCCUUCUCUGCAACUUGAUUCCAGUUCAGUUCAGUGAUUAGCUGUGGGUGUCUGUUUCUACCUCCACCAGCUGCUGGAUUAGGGCUAUCGGGUGGCAUAUAAAUCAGUCAUCAAUCUCAUUAUCAGGGAGGGCAUUUAAGGUAACCUCUCCUCUGUUGCUUAGAUUGUUAGCUGGUGUCAUCUUUAUAGAUUUCCAGACAUUUCCCUAGUGCCUGAUUUCUCUGUGAACCUAAAAUGUCUCCCUUUAUUAUGGUAUCUCUCAUGGGAACACUCUUCCACUGCUGGUGGGAGUGCCAAUUCGUACAGCCACUUUGGAAAUCAGUAUGUCAACUCCUCAGGAAAAUAGGAAUCUGUCUACCACAAGAUCCAGCAAUUCCACUAUUAGGCACAUACCCAAAAGAAGCACAUUCAUAUAACAAAGACAUCUGUUCAACGAUGUUCAUAGAAGCAUUAUUUGUAAUAGCCAGAACCUAGAAGCAUCCUAGAUGCCCCUCAACUGAAGAAUGGAUAGAGAAAAUGUGGUACAUUUACACAAUGGAGUACUACUCAGCAGAAAAAAAAAAAAAAAACAAUGGAAUCUUGAAAUUCUCAGGCAAAUGGAUAGAACUAGAAGAAACCAUUCUGAGUGAGGUAACCCAGGCACAAAAAGACAAACAUGGUAUGCACUCACUCAUAUAUGGAUUUUAGACAUAGAACAAAGGAUUACCAGCCCACAAUCCACACUACCAGAGAGGCUAGGAAACAAGGAGGAUUCUAAGAGAGACAUACAUGGUCCCCUGGAGAAGAGGGGAAGGGACAAGAUCUCCUGAGCAAAUUGGGAGCAUGUGGGGAGGAAAGAAGGGCUAGGAUAAUGAGAAGGGGAGAAGAGGAAGGGUGAGGAGGACAUGAGGGAGCAGGAAGGUUGAGUGGGGGAAGAAUAGAGGAACUUGCUUUCUGAUUUGCAUAGUGGCUAGACUAGUUUGUAUUCCUACUAGCAGUGUAGGAUGGUUGAUUUGUGUCCACAUCCUAAUCAACAUUCGUUUCCUUAAUGUCUGCUGUCCCAAUGGAGGUGAGAUGGAAUGUCAAUGCAAUUUUAAUUCCUAUUUGUCUGAUUAUCUCCCACCUAAUUUUUAUAGUCUUAUUUUACAAAUCAUUGGAGCUGAAGAGAUGACUCAACCAUUAUACUGCUCUUCCAGAGGACCCAAAUUUAGUUUCUAGCACCCUCCCUAGGCAGCUUACAACUACCUGUAACUACAGUUCCAGGGGAUACAAUGCUUUCUUUGGGUUUCCACUGACACCUAAGCACAUAUGCACAUACCCUCUCCACAUGUCUUAGUUAGAGUUUCUCUUGCUGUGAUGAAACAUCAUGUGGGGGAGGUGUUAUUUGGCUUUUAUUUUUUACACAUUAAGUUCAUCAUCAAAGGAAGUCAGGACAGGAACUCAAGCAAGGCAGGAGCAGAUGCAAAAGCCAUGGAGGAGAGUUGCUUACUGGCUUGCUUCCUGGGGCCUUAUCAGCCUGCUUAACUGAGGACCACCAGCCCAGAAUUGGUACCACCACAAAGGGCUGGGCCCUUGCCCUAAAGGUUUGCCUACAGCCCAAUUUUUUUUUGUUUUUUUUUUUUUUGGUUUUUCAAGACAGGGUUUCUCUGUGGCUUUGGAGGCUGUCCUGGAACUAGCUCUUGUAGACCAGGCUGGUCUCGAACUCACAGAGAUCCACAUACCUGUGCCUCCUGAGUUCUGGGAUUGAAGGCGUAUGCCACCAAUGCCUGGCCAGCCCAAUUUUAUGGAGACAUUUUCUCAGUUGAGGUUCCCUCCUCUCUGACAACUCUGGCUUGUGUCAAGUUGACAUAAAACUAGCCAGCACAUUCCAUAGACACAUUAUUAAAAGUAAAAUAGAUCUUGAUAUUACAAAGAUAUACGCUCCUUAUUUCUCAGUUUGGCCCUCAGUAUCCUCAUCUAAGUCCCCAAGACCAUUGACUGUCAAGCUCUGCUCUACAGAUGCUAAAUGCUUUUCAGCACAAAGACACAUUUCAGUGUUGUCAGGAGAUGGCCUGUCUUAGCAUGUGUAUCAGUAUUAAUUAAUCACAAUGCCUUUCAGUAAUUUUUUUUCAGGGAAGAAGCAUGGAGCCAAGGCUUAGAUAGAUACUCGCCAUCUUUUUUCUCUCAUCAAAUUAUGUUUUUUUGUAAGCAGAGGGGAAGAUGAAAUUUGAGAUAAGAUGAGUGAAUGCAGCUUUCUGAUCUUUCUUUUCUCUUCAAUGGCUGGGAAAAAUGAAGGAAGAGAAGAUUUUGUUUCAUUUUGGAUGUUUUAUUUGUUAGAUCAAAUGGAUGGCCUUAUCCCAACGUCUGCAUUCCCCAUGUGUUUAAUGAGUUCAGAUGAAAGAAAAACAGAUGCACACAUGACUUUACAAAGAGAAAGCUCACAUAAGACAACCUGUGUGACAGGCACAUGAACAUGAACUAAAAUGUGUAGAGUAAAAUUCAGGCGUGACUUGGAACUUCAGGCAGUUGCAGGGGCCUUACAUGUUGGUAAAACACUUUUUCCUCUAGCUACAUGAAGUCACUCAAAAAUUUCCAAGAAAUGGUGGAAUAUUUAAUUUUACUUAGAAAAUUGCUACCUGUUGAAACUUGCCUUAUCAAGUUAUAAUAAAUGUAUGAAGAACUGAAUUAUUUCAUAUGCACAAGCUUAUGAUUUGUGCAUGUACAAACAGUGCUAAUACCACCACCACAAUCACCAACACCUCUCUCUGAACAUUCCUUAGUUCCACUGAAGAACACUUGGCAUCUACUUUCCUAACAGUUUCGAAGUACACAAUAUGAUAGUUAUUAAGUUAUAUAGCUCUGCUGAAUUUAUUGUUAUAUAGCAAUUUCUUCUGAAAAAUAUCCUUCACUUUGGAAGGAAGCCUGUUAAGAUGAAGCUUUCCAUCCUGUGAAGAAUCUCCUUGAGCUCCUUAAACUCAGCUCAAAAGCUUCAGGAAGUCCUUGAAACUGACCAGCUCCACCAGCUCCCUCCCACCCCAAGAGUAUGUAAGUGGUAAGAACUGCUGAGAGACACUCUCAGACAGGACACCCUGAGAAGUUCAGAUCAGCUGAGCUGCCUGGAAAAGGCAGAGGCUGCCAGGGCCACCUGAAGAGUUGGAGACCAACUGAGCCACCUGGAAGAGAUGGGAGACCAAGUGAGCCACCUGGAAGAGGAUAAGGCUUAGCUCUCCUGAAUUGCUUGAAAGAGAUACUCUCUAAUGUGUUAAGCUGCCUGCAAGUUGUGCACUGUGUUUCAAGUUUUCAGUUGUUAUCCAUACUGGGGUAGGCAUUUGGUGAUGUGGCUGGCUAUCUCCUAUAAAUAACCCCGUGUGUAGAUUCUUGUAUGUAACCCCAAUAAAACCCAUUGG
rnacentral:lncRNA from 1 species